rnacentral:rRNA from 1 species
GACGGAGGGUGCAAGCGUUGUUCGGAUUGACUGGGCGUAAAGGGCGUGUAGGCGGUCGGCCAAGUCUGAUGUGAAAGCCCGAGGCUCAGCCUCGGAAGUGCGUCGGAAACUAGUCGGCUGGAGCGCGAUAGAGGAGGGUGGAAUUCCUGGUGUAGCGGUGAAAUGCGUAGAUAUCUGGAGGAACACCGGUGGCGAAGGCGGCAUCCUGGACCAAUUCUGACGCUGAGGAGCGAAAAGCGUGGGGGAGCAAACAGG